GCUUCAAGAUGAGGUUUCUCACCGGGUAACCGGGUAAGGCCCCCAGCAGAACACUGGGUUGAUAGGCCGGAGGUCGAAGGCAGUAAUGCACGGAGCCGACCGGUACUAAUAGGCCGAGGGCUUGUCUCUUUCA
rnacentral:rRNA from 1 species